rnacentral:rRNA from 1 species
UACGAGGGGGCAAGCGUUGUUCGGAAUUAUUGGGCGUAAAGGGUGCGUAGGCGGUUUUGUAAGUCUUGUGUGAAAUCUUCAGGCUCAACUUGAAGACUGCACGAGAAACUGCAGGGCUUGAGUGUGGGAGAGGUGAGUGGAAUUCCUGGUGUAGCGGUGAAAUGCGUAGAUAUCAGGAGGAACACCUGUGGCGAAAGCGGCUCACUGGACCACACUGACGCUGAUGCACGAAAGCUAGGGGAGCAAACAGG